rnacentral:rRNA from 1 species
CCCUUAGAUGUUCUGGGCCGCACGCGUGCUACACUGAGUGGAUCAGCGGGUCAGGUUGCGCGAAAGCGUUUCCUAAUCUUUAAAUCCGCUCGUGAUGGGGAUUGACGGUUGCAAUUUUCUGUCAUGAACGAGGAAUACCUUGUAAGCGCGGGUCAUCAUCCCGCGCUGAAUACGUCCCUGCCCUUUGUACACACCGCCCGUCGCUCCUACCGAUUGAGUGGUCCGGUGAGGCUUUGGGAUCUGAGCGGAAAGAGCGUUUCGCUGUUUUUGCUCGGAAAACUCAGUCGAACCUUAUCAUUUAGAGGAAGGAGAAGUCGUAACA